rnacentral:rRNA from 1 species
CACUGCCCGGUAGCUAAAUGCGGAAGAGAUAAGUGCUGAAAGCAUCUAAGCACGAAACUUGCCCCGAGAUGAGUUCUCCCUGACUCCUUGAGAGUCCUGAAGGAACGUUGAAGACGACGACGUUGAUAGGCCGGGUGUGUAAGCGCAGCGAUGCGUUGAGCUAACCGGUACUAAUGAACCGUGAGGCUUAACCUUACAACGCCGAAGGUGUUU